UUUUAAAGAGAGUUUGAUCCUGGCUCAGGACGAACGCUGGCGGCGUGCCUAAUACAUGCAAGUCGAACGAACGGAGGAAGAGCUUGCUCUUCCAAAGUUA
rnacentral:rRNA from 1 species